CUAGCGACUUCAGAGUUUGAUCCUGGCUCAGGAUGAACGCUAGCGGCAGGCUUAACACAUGCAAGUCGAGGGGCAGCAUGAUGAAACUUUCGGGUUUCAUUGAUGGCGACCGGCGCAAGGGUGCGUAACGCGUGAGCAACUUGCCCUUAUCAGGGGAAUAACCGGUGGAAACGCCGACUAAUACCCCAUAGCAUCACUUUAAGGCAUCUUUUAGUGAUUAAAGAAUUUCGGAUAAGGAUAGGCUCGCGUGACAUUAGCUAGAUGGCGAGGUAACGGCCCACCAUGGCGACGAUGUCUAGGGGUUCUGAGAGGAAGGUCCCCCACACUGGAACUGAGACACGGUCCAG
rnacentral:rRNA from 1 species